CGUGAAUGAUGAUGACUUUUUCCCUGACGCUCGCGUGAGGGUUAAGAACUGAUUUAAUGAGCCUGACAC
ensembl:snoRNA small nucleolar RNA SNORD57